ensembl:lncRNA
GUCACUGCAUGGUCCGGGGGAGGGGCCCUCCCCCAGUUUCCAUCUGGAAGCCAGAAGGCUUCGGUCUGUGGCUUUCAGACACACGGUCAGGAGCGUUAGCGGCCCUCUAAGCGACACGGGGCCCUGGGCCUCCAGACCUUUCUCCCCGCGCUGUGGGAAGAGCCUCGUGGGGAGCGGGGGAUCCCGGGCCACCGCGGGAGCCGCUCGACAAGAGGGGCCACGAGUUCCCAGAAGGCGCCGGUCGCCGCGCGCGAGGGUGAAGCCUGCACGUCCCACCCUGUCUCCGGUUGACGUAAGCGGCCGCCUAGAACUGUCGGCAGCUACUGGGCUCCGGAACUCCGCCCCUGACUUGUUUCCUUUUGGAGUCUAGUCCUGGCUCCACCCUGAGAACCUGCUAGGCCAAGGUUCUGCAGUGUCCCCGCCUCAGGGCAGUGGGUCUCGCCGGAGUCCCAGAGCUCUGGAAACCGGUCUGGACACUUCCUCCUUCAGACUAGUCACGGCCUGUGGUCUGACCCAUCCCAGGCUGCAGAAGCGGACCUCUAUUCAUUGAACAGGGGAGGGGGACUACGUCUAUUACCUUGCUUUCUUGCAAGGAGAUCCUCCCUCAGUUUCCUCAUCUACUUAAAAAAGGGGGGGGGGCAUCAAUGUGCUGAGAGAUAGGAGCGAGGCGGUUGUGGCUCACACCUUUAAUCGCAGCACUCGGGAAGCAGAAGCAGGUGGAUUUCUGUGAAUUCAAGGCCAGCCUGGUCUACAGAGUGGAGUUCCAGAACAGCCAGAGCUACACAGAAAAACCGUCUCGACACCCCCCCCCCCCAAAAAAAGCGAAGCACUUUCUUGGUAAGGACGAAUUCGUCUUACAACAUCUGUAAUUUCAGUUCAUGAUCCGAUGCCUCUACUGACUUCUGGGAGAGCUUCUACAAACACACAGUGCACAUACAUACACUCAGGUACACUUAUACGCAUGAACAAUAAUAAUUCAAAUGAGUAUCAGACGGGUGUGAUGGCGACUGCAUACCAGUAAUCCCAGCUAGUGGGAAAGCUGAGGCAGAAGGGACCAGCUACACUGGUCACCUAUGCUACACUGAACAAUUUAGUAAGCCAAAAUUGCAAAAAAUAAAGGAGGGAGACUGGGGGGGCUAGGGAUAUAGCUGAGUGUGGAUCUGUUACCUAGAAUGUGGGAAGCCCUGAGAGAGGACCCUAUGUGAGUCUCAGUUAAAGGGCUUGCCUAGUAUGCUUGAGUCUUGGGCACACCUGUAAUCUUAGUACCAGGAAGUGGAGACAGGACCGUAAGUAGUUCAUCUCAGCUACAUAAUGAAUUCCAGGCUACUCUGGGCCACAUGAGAUCUUGUUUCAAAUAUAAAAGCAAAAAAGACCCCAGAGUUGACAGUAGUGGCCCACUUAAAAUCUGCCAAGAUAAGUGGAUUUCUGCAAGUUCAAGGCCAGCUUGAUCUAGAUAAGGAAUUCCAGGUCAGCUGGGGUUACACAGAUCUUGUUUCAAAGAACCACCAUCACAACAAGCUAAGUAUGGUGGCCCAUGUCUUCAACCUCAGAAGUCAGUCCCACUGAUCUCUGUGACUUCAUAGCUCCAGAGCUUCCUUCGAAAAACAAACAAAAAACAAAAAACGAAACACAAAAACACCAAGAAAAACAUUAAAAGGACAAAUCUCAAAGGAAGUUACAUAUGAAUUGUUAAUUCACAAAAAGCAACUUUGCAUUCUGAGAUGAAUAGCUAGAUCAUUUUUUAAAAAAA